rnacentral:ncRNA from 1 species
GGCAGCACGUAACAUCGGGGGUAGAGUGUACCGUGCAAGGCGGGUCGUGGUAAUACCCGUACCAGGUCAAAAUGGUGAACAGCCUCUGGCCAAGGAAACAAUGUAGGCAAGGGAAGUCGAAAAAACGGAUCCGUAACUUCGGGAAAAGGAUUGGCUCUGAGGACUGGGCUCGGGGGUCCCGGCCCCGAACCCGUCGGCUGUUGGCGG